ACCUGCUCUAACAUGUUUAUAUAUUCAGCAUUGUUGUACUCUUCUUCAAAACCAUGUCUAGGUUGCGGGAAUCCGGACUGUAUCCCAUCUAUCAUUGAACUCGCUGUAUCGACACCAUUCUCUGUAGCAAUGUUGCUGUUCUCUGUGUAUCUAUCGCUUCCGGUCUCGGUUGUUCCAUAGCUUAAGACUGAUCUACGAGCCCUUGAGCUACCAGAUACUUCACUAAUUCUAUCAUUCAUGUCGCAUAGCUCAAAAUCAAAUACAACAUUUCAAGAACUCUUCCCUAUGUACAAAAGGUCGGUAAAUCAG